AUUCUGGUAUUGUGGGACUAGGCUACAGAACCCAGGUCAGCUCAUUCUGGUAUUAUGGGACCAGGCUACAGAACCCAGGUCAGCUCAUUCUGGUAUUAUGGGACCAGGCUACAGAACCCAGGUCAGCUCAUUCUGGUAUUGUGGGACCAGGCUACAGAACCCAGGUCAGCUCAUUCUGGUAUUAUGGGACCAGGCUACAGAACCCAGGUCAGCUCAUUCUGGUAUUGUGGGACCAGGCUACAGAACCCAGGUCAGCUCAUUCUGGUAUUGUGGGACCAGGCUACAGAACCCAGGUCAGCUCAUUCUGGUAUUAUGGGACCAGGCUACAGAACCCAGGUCAGCUCAUUCUGGUAUUGUGGGACCCGGCUACAGAACCCAGGUCAGCUCAUUCUGGUAUUGUGGGACCAGGCUACAGAACCCAGGUCAGCUCAUUCUGGUAUUGUGGGACCAGGCUACAGAACCCAGGUCAGCUCAUUCUGGUAUUAUGGGACCAGGCUACAGAACCCAGGUCAGCUCAUUCUGGUAUUGUGGGACCCGGCUACAGAACCCAGGUCAGCUCAUUCUGGUAUUAUGGGACCAGGCUACAGAACCCAGGUCAGCUCAUUCUGGUAUUGUGGGACCAGGCUACAGAACCCAGGUCAGCUCAUUCUGGUAUUGUGGGACCAGGCUACAGAACCCAGGUCAGCUCAUUCUGGUAUUGUGGGACCAGGCUACAGAACCCAGGUCAGCUCAUUCUGGUAUUGUGGGACCAGGCUACAGAACCCAGGUCAGCUCAUUCUGGUAUUGUGGGACCAGGCUACAGAACCCAGGUCAGCUCAUUCUGGUAUUGUGGGACCAGGCUACAGAACCCAGGUCAGCUCAUUCUGGUAUUGUGGGAGCAGGCUACUGAGCCCAGGUCAGCUCUUUCUGGUAUUGUGGGACCCGGCUACAGAACCCAGGUCAGCUCAUUCUGGUAUUGUGGGACCAGGCUACUGAGCCCAGGUCAGCUCUUUCUGGUAUUGUGGGACCAGGCUACAGAGCCGAGGUCAGUUCAUUCUGGUAUUGUGGGACCAGGCUACAGAGCCCAGGUCUGCUCAUUCUGGUAUUGUGGGACCCGGCUACAGAACCCAGGUCAGCUCAUUCUGGUAUUGUGGGACCAGGCUACAGAACCCAGGUCAGCUCAUUCUGGUAUUGUGGGACCAGGCUACAGAACCCAGGUCAGCUCAUUCUGGUAUUGUGGGACCAGGCUACAGAACCCAGGUCAGCUCAUUCUGGUAUUGUGGGACCAGGCUACAGAACCCAGGUCAGCUCAUUCUGGUAUUGUGGGACCAGGCUACAGAACCCAGGUCAGAUCAUUCUGGUAUUAUGGGACCAGGCUACUGAGCCCAGGUCAGAUCAUUCUGGUAUUAUGGGACCAGGCUACUGAGCCCAGGUCAGCUCAUUCUGGUAUUAUGGGACCAGGCUACUGAGCCCAGGUCAGAUCAUUCUGGUAUUAUGGGACCAGGCUACUGAGCCCAGGUCAGCUCAUUCUGGUAUUAUGGGACCAGGCUACAGAACCCAGGUCAGCUCAUUCUGCUAUUAUGGGACCAGGCUACAGAACCCAGGUCAGCUCAUUCUGGUAUUGUGGGACCAGGCUACAGAACCCAGGUCAGCUCAUUCUGGUAUUGUGGGACCAGGCUACAGAACCCAGGUCAGCUCAUUCUGGUAUUAUGGGACCAGGCUACAGAACCCAGGUCAGCUCAUUCUGGUAUUAUGGGACCAGGCUACAGAACCCAGGUCAGCUCAUUCUGGUAUUGUGGGACCAGGCUACAGAACCCAGGUCAGCUCAUUCUGGUAUUAUGGGACCAGGCUACAGAACCCAGGUCAGCUCAUUCUGGUAUUAUGGGACCAGGCUACAGAACCCAGGUCAGCUCAUUCUGGUAUUGUGGGACCAGGCUACAGAACCCAGGUCAGCUCAUUCUGGUAUUGUGGGACCAGGCUACAGAACCCAGGUCAGCUCAUUCUGGUAUUGUGGGACCAGGCUACAGAACCCAGGUCAGCUCAUUCUGGUAUUGUGGGACCAGGCUACAGAACCCAGGUCAGCUCAUUCUGGUAUUGUGGGACCAGGCUACAGAACCCAGGUCAGCUCAUUCUGGUAUUAUGGGACCAGGCUACAGAACCCAGGUCAGCUCAUUCUGGUAUUGUGGGACCAGGCUACAGAACCCAGGUCAGCUCAUUCUGGUAUUGUGGGACCAGGCUACAGAACCCAGGUCAGCUCAUUCUGGUAUUGUGGGACCAGGCUACAGAACCCAGGUCAGCUCAUUCUGCUAUUAUGGGACCAGGCUACAGAACCCAGGUCAGCUCAUUCUGGUAUUGUGGGACCAGGCUACAGAACCCAGGUCAGCUCAUUCUGGUAUUGUGGGACCAGGCUACAGAACCCAGGUCAGCUCAUUCUGGUAUUGUGGGACCAGGCUACAGAACCCAGGUCAGCUCAUUCUGGUAUUGUGGGACCAGGCUACAGAACCCAGGUCAGCUCAUUCUGGUAUUAUGGGACCAGGCUACAGAGCCCAGGUCAGCUCAUUCUGGUAUUGUGGGACCCGGCUACAGAACCCAGGUCAGCUCAUUCUGGUAUUGUGGGACCAGGCUACAGAACCCAGGUCAGCUCAUUCUGGUAUUGUGGGACCAGGCUACAGAACCCAGGUCAGCUCAUUCUGGUAUUGUGGGACCAGGCUACAGAACCCAGGUCAGCUCAUUCUGGUAUUAUGGGACCAGGCUACAGAGCCCAGGUCAGCUCAUUCUGGUAUUGUGGGACCCGGCUACAGAACCCAGGUCAGCUCAUUCUGGUAUUAUGGGACCAGGCUACUGAGCCCAGGUCAGCUCAUUCUGGUAUUGUGGGACCAGGCUACAGAACCCAGGUCAGCUCAUUCUGGUAUUGUGGGACCAGGCUACAGAACCCAGGUCAGAUCAUUCUGGUAUUAUGGGACCAGGCUACUGAGCCCAGGUCAGAUCAUUCUGGUAUUGUGGAACCAGGCUACAGAACCCAGGUCAGAUCAUUCUGGUAUUAUGGGACCAGGCUACUGAGCCCAGGUCAGAUCAUUCUGGUAUUAUGGGACCAGGCUACUGAGCCCAGGUCAGCUCAUUCUGGUAUUAUGGGACCAGGCUACUGAGCCCAGGUCAGAUCAUUCUGGUAUUAUGGGACCAGGCUACUGAGCCCAGGUCAGCUCAUUCUGGUAUUAUGGGACCAGGCUACAGAACCCAGGUCAGCUCAUUCUGGUAUUAUGGGACCAGGCUACUGAACCCAGGUCAGCUCAUUCUGGUAUUAUGGGACCAGGCUACAGAACCCAGGUCAGCUCAUUCUGGUAUUAUGGGACCAGGCUACUGAACCCAGGUCAGCUCAUUCUGGUAUUAUGGGACCAGGCUACAGAACCCAGCUCAGCUCAUUCUGGUAUUAUGGGACCAGGCUACUGAACCCAGGUCAGCUCAUUCUGGUAUUGUGGGACCAGGCUACAGAACCCAGGUCAGCUCAUUCUGGUAUUAUGGGACCAGGCUACAGAACCCAGGUCAGCUCAUUCUGGUAUUAUGGGACCAGGCUACUGAACCCAGGUCAGCUCAUUCUGGUAUUAUGGGACCAGGCUACUGAACCCAGGUCAGCUCAUUCUGGUAUUAUGGGACCAGGCUACUGAACCCAGGUCAGCUCAUUCUGGUAUUGUGGGACCAGACUGCAGAACCCAGGUCAGCUCAUUAUUAUUUUCUGUCCUUCAGUUUAAUUUAAUUCCACCCAAUAGCUCACCUUUCUCAUAGAUUUGAUGAGAACGGAUUUUUAAAAAAUCUAGAUUUGGUCAGACGUUUCACUUGUUCCCUUUUUUGGUCGGUGAAGUUAAACAAUGGUAAAAUAUUUUGAAAGUCAUCUCACCUUCAGUGAAUAGACAGUCUUUCAUUUCCUGCCAAGGUCGUGGGAAUUUGUUGUUGUUGUUGUUGCCAGCACUACAGUUGUCUAUAUCAGUCCACUAAUACAGGACUGUUAUUAAUAUUGAUUUUUUUACAGCCCUACUUCCCACGGCUGUGUUUCAUGUCCUGUUCCUGUGUGAACUAUUUUAGUUUAAGAUGUUUGUAGUGGAGUAUUAUGGCGGAUCAGGGGUGAAAAAAUAACCACAACAUGGUAGUAGUGCUACUUAUACUAUCUCUCUGUCUCUCUCUCCUCUCUCUCUGUCUCCUCUCUCUCUCUGUCUCCUCUCUCUCUCUCUCUCUCUCUCUGUCUCUCUGUCUCCUCUCUCUCUCUGUCUCUCUCUCUCUCUCUCUCUCUCUCCUCUCUCUCUGUCUCCUCUCUCUCUCUGUCUCCUCUCUCUCUCUGUCUCUGUCUCUCUCUCUCUCUCUCUCUCUGUUUCCUCUCUCUCUGUCUCUCUGUCUCCUCUCUCUCUAUGUCUCAUCUCUCUCUCUCUGUCUCGGUCUCCUCUCUCUCGGUCUCCUCUCUCUCUGUCUCCUCUCUCUCUCUGUCUCCUCUCUCUCGCUCUGUCUCCUCUCUCUGUCUCUGUUUCUCCCUCUCUGUCUCUCUCUAUAUCUCUCUUUCUGUCUCUCUGUCUCUCUCCCUGUCUCUCUCUCUGUCUCUCUCUCUCUCUCUCUGUCUCUCUGUCUCUCUCUCUCUGUCUCUCUGUCUCUCUCUCUCUCAUCCACCACAUCUCAUAUCCGGCCCAUCUGGACAUUUAUAGCUUGUUAGCGAAUAAUAUACUACAAUCAGCCUUUGUGUUCGUUUACUUUUAGAUUAAGUUCAAAGGUUGCGUUUGUUUCAUGAGAGAGACGCAAUAGAGAGAAGUUUGUAAACUGGAAUCAUUUAAGUGUUUGGUAAAUGUGUCAGUAUAUUUGCAUUGUAUUUGCAUUGUCAGGUCAGUGGUUUGAUUGGACAGGAUGUUGUCAUGGGAGAUGGGCAGCAAGUAUCCAACGGUCUGGGAAGGAAAUAUAUUCUGUUCAGAAUAGGGUUGCAAAGCUACCGGUAAUUUACCAAAGUUACCGGAAUCUUCAGUAAUUUUGGUAAUUAACAGAUUAUCUAUGGUAAUCUAUCAUAAUUUUGGUAACCCUCACAUUAAACACCAAUGUUAUUCACUGAGUUGAUGGUUUAUAUUUAAACCAUAUUUAAAACCAUCUUAUUAUUGAAUAUAUUUUACAUGUGAUAAGGCCCAACAGAGGGCCAGAGACUGUCAUAAUCUGAAAUACCCAAAAGGGCCACUAGAUUAUGUAAAAUCCUUGAAAGAUACCAAAAUCCUGGUAAUUUACUGGUAAACUUAGAAAUGUUUCCAGUAAUAUACCCUCCCCUUGCAACCCUAGUUCAGAAUGACAAUGACAAACCAACCACAAUCCAGGGACAGUUCAGGUUUGACCUCUGAACUUUGGCCUUGCUUUCACCUGCAACUCUGUUGUGGCAAUAACCUCAUAUAGGUUAGGGCUAUGGUUUAGGAUAGGGUUAUGUUUGUGAUUGGUGGAUUGUUAUUUGAACAGUGUAGUCAGUAGUGAUAGUUCCAGAACAUCAAUAACACAUCUGUGUUCCAUGACCUUCUCCUCCCCUCUCCCUCCACAGGGUGCUGUACAUCGGUCUGGCCUGCAACACGGCUCGUUUCCUGUACAUCUCCUACCUGGAGGACGCCUGGA